GACGAACGCUGGCGGCGUGCUUAACACAUGCAAGUCGAACGGAAAGGCCCUGCUUUUGUGGGGUGCUCGAGUGGCGAACGGGUGAGUAACACGUGAGUAACCUGCCCUUGACUUUGGGAUAACUUCAGGAAACUGGGGCUAAUACCGGAUAGGAGCUCCUGCUGCAUGGUGGGGGUUGGAAAGUUUCGGCGGUUGGGGAUGGACUCGCGGCUUAUCAGCUUGUUGGUGGGGUAGUGGCUUACCAAGGCUUUGACGGGUAGCCGGCCUGAGAGGGUGACCGGCCACAUUGGGACUGAGAUACGGCCCAGACUCCUACGGGAGGCAGCAGUGGGGAAUAUUGCACAAUGGGCGGAAGCCUGAUGCAGCAACGCCGCGUGCGGGAUGACGGCCUUCGGGUUGUAAACCGCUUUCGCCUGUGACGAAGCGUGAGUGACGGUAAUGGGUAAAGAAGCACCGGCUAACUACGUGCCAGCAGCCGCGGUGAUACGUAGGGUGCGAGCGUUGUCCGGAUUUAUUGGGCGUAAAGGGCUCGUAGGUGGUUGAUCGCGUCGGAAGUGUAAUCUUGGGGCUUAACCCUGAGCGUGCUUUCGAUACGGGUUGACUUGAGGAAGGUAGGGGAGAAUGGAAUUCCUGGUGGAGCGGUGGAAUGCGCAGAUAUCAGGAGGAACACCAGUGGCGAAGGCGGUUCUCUGGGCCUUUCCUGACGCUGAGGAGCGAAAGCGUGGGGAGCGAACAGGCUUAGAUACCCUGGUAGUCCACGCUGUAAACGGUGGGUACUAGGUGUGGGGUCCAUUCCACGGGCUCCGUGCCGUAGCUAACGCUUUAAGUACCCCGCCUGGGGAGUACGGCCGCAAGGCUAAAACUCAAAGGAAUUGACGGGGCCCCGCACAAGCGGCGGAGCAUGCGGAUUAAUUCGAUGCAACGCGUAGAACCUUACCUGGGUUUGACAUGGAUCGGGAGCGCUCAGAGAUGGGUGUGCCUCCUUUGGGGUCGGUUCACAGGUGGUGCAUGGCUGUCGUCAGCUCGUGUCGUGAGAUGUUGGGUUAAGUCCCGCAACGAGCGCAACCCUUGUUCACUGUUGCCAGCACGUUAUGGUGGGGACUCAGUGGAGACCGCCGGGGUCAACUCGGAGGAAGGUGGGGAUGACGUCAAGUCAUCAUGCCCCUUAUGUCCAGGGCUUCACGCAUGCUACAAUGGCUGGUACAGAGAGUGGCGAGCCUGUGAGGGUGAGCGAAUCUCGGAAAGCCGGUCUCAGUUCGGAUUGGGGUCUGCAACUCGACCUCAUGAAGUCGGAGUCGCUAGUAAUCGCAGAUCAGCAACGCUGCGGUGAGUACGUUCCCGGGGCU
rnacentral:rRNA from 1 species